GAUGAACGCUGGCGGCGUGCCUAAUACAUGCAAGUCGAGCGAACAGACGAGGAGCUUGCUUCUCUGACGUUAGCGGCGGACGGGUGAGUAACACGUGGAUAACCUACCUAUAAGACUGGGAUAACUUCGGGAAACCGGAGCUAAUACCGGAUAAUAUAUUGAACCGCAUGGUUCAAUAGUGAAAGACGGUUUUGCUGUCACUUAUAGAUGGAUCCGCGCCGCAUUAGCUAGUUGGUAAGGUAACGGCUUACCAAGGCAACGAUGCGUAGCCGACCUGAGAGGGUGAUCGGCCACACUGGAACUGAGACACGGUCCAGACUCCUACGGGAGGCAGCAGUAGGGAAUCUUCCGCAAUGGGCGAAAGCCUGACGGAGCAACGCCGCGUGAGUGAUGAAGGUCUUCGGAUCGUAAAACUCUGUUAUUAGGGAAGAACAAAUGUGUAAGUAACUAUGCACGUCUUGACGGUACCUAAUCAGAAAGCCACGGCUAGCUACGUG
rnacentral:rRNA from 1 species